GGUCUAUGAUGGCUUUUGGCAAGAAAUACCUGACCUGAGCUUGAAGACAAUGGAUUCAGCUCUAGAAUUGCUCUGAGACCUG
ensembl:snoRNA